rnacentral:rRNA from 1 species
AUUGAACGCUGGCGGAAUGCUUUACACAUGCAAGUCGAACGGCAGCACGGGGCAACCUGGUGGCGAGUGGCGAACGGGUGAGUAAUACAUCGGAACGUGCCCAAUCGUGGGGGAUAACGUAGCGAAAGUUACGCUAAUACCGCAUACGAUCUACGGAUGAAAGCGGGGGAUCGCAAGACCUCGCGCGAAUGGAGCGGCCGAUGUCAGAUUAGGUAGUUGGUGGGGUAAAGGCUCACCAAGCCGACGAUCUGUAGCUGGUCUGAGAGGACGACCAGCCACACUGGGACUGAGACACGGCCCAGACUCCUACGGGAGGCAGCAGUGGGGAAUUUUGGACAAUGGGCGCAAGCCUGAUCCAGCCAUUCCGCGUGCAGAAUGAAGGCCUUC